GGAAUACAUCGGAAUCUACUCUGUCGUGGGGGAUAACGUAGGGAAACUUACGCUAAUACCGCAUACGACCUACGGGUGAAAGCAGGGGAUCUUCGGACCUUGCGCGAUUGAAUGAGCCGAUGUCGGAUUAGCUAGUUGGCGGGGUAAAGGCCCACCAAGGCGACGAUCCGUAGCUGGUCUGAGAGGAUGAUCAGCCACACUGGAACUGAGACACGGUCCAGACUCCUACGGGAGGCAGCAGUGGGGAAUAUUGGACAAUGGGCGCAAGCCUGAUCCAGCCAUACCGCGUGGGUGAAGAAGGCCUUCGGGUUGUAAAGCCCUUUUGUUGGGAAAGAAAUCCAACUGGUUAAUACCCGGUUGGGAUGACGGUACCCAAAGAAUAAGCACCGGCUAACUUCGUGCCAGCAGCCGCGGUAAUACGAAGGGUGCAAGCGUUACUCGGAAUUACUGGGCGUAAAGCGUGCGUAGGUGGUUAUUUAAGUCCGUUGUGAAAGCCCUGGGCUCAACCUGGGAACUGCAGUGGAUACUGGAUGACUAGAAUGUGGU
rnacentral:rRNA from 1 species